AUUGAACGCUGGCGGCGUGCUUAACACAUGCAAGUCGAUCGGUAACGCGGGGGCAACCCUGGCGACGAGAGGCGGACGGGUGAGGAACGCUUGGGAAUCUGCCUAUCGGCGGGGGACAACACGGGGAAACUCGUGCUAAUACCGCAUACGCUCUACGGAGGAAAGCCGGGGACCGCAAGGCCUGGCACUGAUAGAUGAGCCCAAGCCGGAUUAGCUAGUUGGCGGGGUAACGGCCCACCAAGGCGACGAUCCGUAGCUGGUCUGAGAGGACGAUCGGCCACACUGGAACUGAGACACGGUCCAGACUCCUACGGGAGGCAGCAGUGGGGAAUAUUGGACAAUGGGGGAAACCCUGAUCCAGCGACGCCGCGUGGGUGAGGAAGGCCUGCGGGUUGUAAAGCCCUUUCGGUAGGGACGAAAGCUCUCGACCUAACACGUCGGGAGGUUGACUUAACCUACAGAAGAAGCACCGGCUAACUCUGUGCCAGCCGCCGCCGUAACAC
rnacentral:rRNA from 1 species